UACGUAGGGCGCAAGCGUUGUCCGGAAUUAUUGGGCGUAAAGAGCUCGUAGGCGGUUUGUCGCGUCUGCUGUGAAAACCUAAGGCUCAACCUUGGGCUUGCAGUGGGUACGGGCAGACUAGAGUGCGGUAGGGGUGACUGGAAUUCCUGGUGUAGCGGUGGAAUGCGCAGACAUCAGGAGGAACACCGGUGGCGAAGGCGGUGGUCUGGGCCGGAACUGACGCUGAGGAGCGAAAGCGUGGGGAGCGAACAGG
rnacentral:rRNA from 1 species